rnacentral:rRNA from 1 species
UACGUAGGGGGCAAGCGUUAUCCGGAUUUACUGGGUGUAAAGGGAGCGUAGACGGCGGUGCAAGCCAGAUGUGAAAGCCCGGGGCUCAACCCCGGAACUGCAUUUGGAACUGUGCUGCUAGAGUGUCGGAGAGGCAGGCGGAAUUCCUAGUGUAGCGGUGAAAUGCGUAGAUAUUAGGAGGAACACCAGUGGCGAAGGCGGCCUGCUGGACGAUGACUGACGUUGAGGCUCGAAAGCGUGGGGAGCAAACAGG